rnacentral:rRNA from 2 species
UGCCUUCGGGAACCGUGAGACAGGUGCUGCAUGGCUGUCGUCAGCUCGUGUUGUGAAAUGUUGGGUUAAGUCCCGCAACGAGCGCAACCCUUAUCCUUUGUUGCCAGCGGUCCGGCCGGGAACUCAAAGGAGACUGCCAGUGAUAAACUGGAGGAAGGUGGGGAUGACGUCAAGUCAUCAUGGCCCUUACGACCAGGGCUACACACGUGCUACAAUGGCGCAUACAAAGAGAAGCGACCUCGCGAGAGCAAGCGGACCUCAUAAAGUGCGUCGUAGUCCGGAUUGGAGUCUGCAACUCGACUCCAUGAAGUCGGAAUCGCUAGUAAUCGUGGAUCAGAAUGCCACGGUGAAUACGUUCCCGGGCCUUGUACACACCGCCCGUCACACCAUGGGAGUGGGUUGCAAAAGAAGUAGGUAGCUUAACCUUCGGGAGGGCGCUUACCACUUUGUGAUUCAUGACUGGGGUGAAGUCGUAACAAGGUAACCGUAGGGGAACCUGCGGUUGGAUCACCUCCUU